UUAUUUACUAUAGAUUAAAAGUCCAAUUACUGAUUUGUUUUUGUCCAGCUCAGUGAGCCAGUUUCUGUCUAAUUUUAAACCCAAAUGUGAACUGUUCCCUAACUCUUCAGAUAAUAAACAAGUGAAAGUGAGUCAUCUGUCAGCAGAGAGCUGUUUCUGUCUGCUGAACAAACUGAAAGAGAAUCAAUGAUAGAGAUUAUAGAUGAGCAGUAGAGGCAUCAUGAUGGUGGGUUAGAGUUACACACACACUUCUUGGAGCACACGAAAGAAAGUGGGGUGCUACAAGGCCUAUCGUUCCAGUUAUUUCCUCCAUUGUAGUUAUCUCAG